rnacentral:lncRNA from 1 species
AUGGCCCAGUGCCUUCCAGUAUGGCCCAGUAUGACCCAGUAUAGCCCAGUAUGGCCCAGUCCCUCCCAGUACACCCCCAGUAUAUCCCAUUAUAUCCCAGUCCCCUCCCAGUUCCUCCCAGUCUCUCCCACUAUAUCCCAGUAUAUCCCAGUAUAUCCCAGUCCGCUCCUAUUGUCUCCCAGUAUAUCCCAGUAUCUCCCAGUAUCUCCCAUUCCCUCCCAUUCCCUCCCAGUAUCUCCCAGUAUCUCCCAGUAUCUCCCAUUCCCUCCCAGUAUCUCCCAGUAUCUCCCAAUUCCCUCCCAGUAUCGUCCCAGUAUCUCCCAUUCCCCCCCAGUAAUCUCACCAGUAUCUCCCAGAGUCUCCCAUUCCCUCCACGUAUCUCCCAUUCCCUC